rnacentral:rRNA from 1 species
GACGGAGGAGGCUAGCGUUGUUCGGAAUUACUGGGCGUAAAGCGUGCGCAGGUUGUAAGUUCAGUCUGAUGUGAAAGCCCGGGGCUCAACCUCGGAUGUGCAUUAGAUACUGGCUUGCUGGAGGUUGGAAGAGGAGAGUGGAAUUCCCAGUGUAGAGGUGAAAUUCGUAGAUAUUGGGAAGAACACCAGUGGCGAAGGCGGCUCUCUGGUCCACACCUGACACUCAUGCACGAAAGCGUGGGGAGCAAAC